rnacentral:rRNA from 1 species
GAAGCGGCAAAAGCUCAAAUUUGAAAUCUGGCGUCUUUGGCGUCCGAGUUGUAAUUUGAAGAAGGUAUCUUUGGGCCCGGCUCUUGUCUAUGUUCCUUGGAACAGGACGUCACAGAGGGUGAGAAUCCCGUGCGAUGAGAUGACCCGGGUCUGUGUAAAGUUCCUUCGACGAGUCGAGUUGUUUGGGAAUGCAGCUCUAAGUGGGUGGUAAAUUCCAUCUAAAGCUAAAUAUUGGCGAGAGACCGAUAGCGAACAAGUACAGUGAUGGAAAGAUGAAAAGAACUUUGAAAAGAGAGUGAAAAAGUACGUGAAAUUGUUGAAAGGGAAGGGCUUGAGAUCAGACUUGGUAUUUUGCAUGUUGCUCUCUCGGGGGCGGCCGCUGCGGUUUACCGGGCCAGCAUCGGUUUGGAGCGGCAGGAUAAUGGCGGAGGAAUGUGGCACGGCUUCUGCUGUGUGUUAUAGCCUCUGACGAUACUGCCAGCCUAGACCGAGGACUGCGGUUUUUACCUAGGAUGUUGGCAUAAUGAUCUUAAGUC